AGAGUUUGAUCAUGGCUCAGGAUGAACGCUAGCGGCAGGCCUAAUACAUGCAAGACGAACGGUAACUGGUGUAGCAAUACAUCGGCAAGAGUGUCGUAAGGGUGCGUAACACGUAUGCAAUCUGCCCGCAACAGGAGGAUAGCUCCCCGAAAGGGGAAUUAACACUCCAUAAUACCAUUUGAGGGCAUCUGAUUAUGGUU
rnacentral:rRNA from 1 species